rnacentral:lncRNA from 1 species
GUUAUAGCAAGACUGAAGUAGUUGACUUAUCUCCGCAUUUCUUAGUAUUGAUAUUUUGCGUGUUGUCUUUUCAGAUAUUUGUUCAUACUGGCAUUCCCCCCGCUUCAAAAAGAUCCUGAAAAUUCACACUAACCGGCUACCAAUCUUCAGCAUUAUGCCCCUAAAUCGUGGGUGGACACGAUGUUAUGAAAGUGAUCAAAAUAAUUUUGAGAAACUGCUUAAUUCAACCUUUUUUCAUAUGAAAAUUCUAUUGCAUCACCAGGCUGACGGUGCUUGAUGGGUUUUGUGCUAUUGCAACGUCAGGCCUUUUCUGCAAGCAAAUUGAAAAGAAUAUUCUGGAUGCCAAGGAUGACCACAGUGAUUCUGAUCCUUACUGCCAAUGAAUCUCUGUGAAGUAUGUACUCCAGUAACCAGCACCAGAAAACUAAAAAUUGAUGCCAUAAUGGCGAUUGAUGUGUUUGGUAAACAAGACAUGGCACCACCACAGCAUACACCAAUCAAAAAAAAAGUUGUAAAAAGAAAGAAGGUUGAUCCAGAAGCCCCAGGUGAAACCAAGAAAAAGUCUGAAACUGUUGUGUUGCAAUCUGUUAUCUCUACUGCAAAGUUCUCAUAAGUUGGUGGCAACAAAAAUUCCCAAGUAGUGCGUUAGCUUUUUCUUCACAUGAAGCAAAUCCGUUACCUUUUUGAACAAUCGACGUCUUCUGCUCCGUGUAUAACAUUAAUUGACGCCAUUACGCUCAAGAGAGAAAUGGUUCAACGAUAGAUGGAACGAAGUAUUUUUGCAUAGCUUCUCACCUGCAUGGAUGACCUGACGCCUUAGAUCCUGCCUUAAGAAGAGCUGGCCGAUUUGACCGAAACAUAUCACUUCUGGGAUGACCUCACCGCAAGAGAGAAGAUUCUCAAAGUGAACUGCAAGAACCUCAGUUUAGAAUGGAUAUGGGCUUUUAAGUAUUUGGCUUUGAGCACAUCAUCAUAGCUAGGAAUAGGUGGGAAAAAAAAAGAUUUGAAAUUCUGUUUUUCACUUCUCACCAGUCAGUCACCACAAGACGGAUCACGGAUGGAGUUAAUAUAUUUGGCUCAAGAAUUGGGUAAUUUGGUAUUUAUAUAAUAUUUGAUAUUAUUUAAGGUAAUUGAACUGAAUAUUGUGCAAGUUUUUUUCUUCAUCUUUAAAGAAUCGUUUGUUUCGAUGCAAUCAUUCAACGCUGCUCUUUUUUUUU